CCCACUUCGCUCAUCACUUCUCCUUCGCCUCACCCAUCUCUCCUUCUUUAGGGUUUCUCCAAAUGUCGCUAGGUUUUUUCUUGACUCUCGAUUGGUGGUUGCUUUGAUCCUAGGGUUUCAUUAUGGCUCCAAUCUUCCCCGAAAGAUGACCCCUUGGAUAUUCUCUUUUCCCAUUCUCCUCUCUUGCCAUCUUCUUUGGUUCAUUUUUUAAAUGAUUGUUUAUUUUAUUUUAUUCUCUUU
rnacentral:lncRNA from 1 species